GUUUCGAGGAAGCGUGGGUAUUACGCUAGCUGACUCUCUCUGCGCCUCUCCCGAUAGCUUCCGCAUCAAGGUGUUCGGAAAUGGAGAUGGUAGUAACAAUGCUGUGAAUUGGAUGAUGAGAGUGGGAGUAGUCUUCAGACAGAUCCCAGAUUCAGUAAAGCAUGGAUUCUUCCAAUGUGAUGGCUAUAGGAACUGUAAUGCUUCGAAGGAUCUAGCUUUAUAAGAAGUAUGCGGAGUGUCGCAGGUAAUAAUGCUUCUUCAUUUGAGGAUAUCAUGGUUGAGUUCUGGAGAUAGGGAAAGUAUAUUUGGACACAUUCUGGUAAUAUUUUACCCACGGUGAAGAGGGAGGGAAUCUCUUAGGGUGCGUUUGGUUGCGUAAAUCAAAUGGUGUAUCCAUCGAAUAUGGAUGUUAAAUCUUUUGAGAGACAUUCUUCUAAACUACCUAUAUAGCUGAAAAAUCGUUUGGUUGCCUUGAGUCUAGUACAUGUUUCUUGUUGGAAAACUGUUUGGUUACCUUAAAUUUGUGUAGUGAUUCUUCAUGUAAAACUGUUUGGUUACCCUAAUCCUGUAUAAUGAUUCUUCCUAUAAAAUUGUUUGAUUAAA